rnacentral:rRNA from 1 species
AUUGAACGCUGGCGGCAGGCCUAACACAUGCAAGUCGGGCGGUAACAGGAAUCAGCUUGCUGAUUCGCUGACGAGCGGCGGACGGGUGAGUAAUGUCUGGGAAACUGCCUGAUGGAGGGGGAUAACUACUGGAAACGGUAGCUAAUACCGCAUAACGUCUUCGGACCAAAGUGGGGGACCUUCGGGGCUCAUGCCAUCAGAUGUGCCCAGAUGGGAUUAGCUUGUUGGUGGGGUAACGGCUCACCAAGGCGACGAUCCCUAGCUGGUCUGAGAGGAUGACCAGCCACACUGGAACUGAGACACGGUCCAGACUCCUACGGGAGGCAGCAGUGGGGAAUAUUGCACAAUGGGCGCAAGCCUGAUGCAGCCAUGCCGCGUGUAUGAAGAAGGCCUUCGGGUUGUAAAGUACUUUCAGCGGGGAGGAAGGUGUUGUGGUUAAUAACCACAGCAAUUGACGUUACCCGCAGAAGAAGCACCGGCUAACUCCGUGCCAGCCGCCGCCGUAACAC